rnacentral:snRNA from 1 species
AGAUGGGAGUGACAUCUGGCUACAACAUCUGUUACCUCAUUGAUUGCCAGGGUUAAUUGAACUGAUCUGGCUGGCUAGGGAUAUGUCCACUUGGUCCCUCACCACUCCAUCUGCAUCUCUCUUGUUGCUGCCUGCUGAGUGGGAGGAUGACAACCCCUGAUUCAGGAGGACUGUUUUCCUGGUCAAGGGUGUAGGAGUAGCUGCACUCCCCUGCUAUAACUUCCAAAUAAGUCUCAAUAUGGAAAGCAAACUGUCACCCUGUCUAUUUAAAACAUUUGGUAAUUUGAAUUCCAGU